rfam:Canis lupus familiaris chromosome X, whole genome shotgun sequence.
GGGGGAAGGUCGGAUCCUGGGCUGUGUCCCGGCGCCCUGUGCUUCGGGGCCUGCGCUGUUGGAUUCACGUUCCCGGGCCGCGCAGCCCCCU